rnacentral:tRNA from 1 species
GCUGGGAUAGCUCAGUUGGUGAGCAGUCCCGACGAGUCGGGAUAAUCAGCAGGUCGAGAGUUCAAGUCUCUUUCCCAGCUCCA